UGCCGGCGACCGGCGGACGGGUGCGUAACGCGUAUGUAACCUACCUUUGACAGGGGGAUAACAUCGAGAAAUUGGUACUAAUACCCCAUUACAUCACCGGAGGCAUCUUCGGUGGUUGAAAACUCAGGUGGUCAGAGAUGGACAUGCGUUGUAUUAGCUAGUUGGUGAGGUAACGGCUCACCAAGGCGACGAUACAUAGGGGGACUGAGAGGUCAACCCCCCACAUUGGUACUGAGACACGGACCAAACUCCUACGGAAGGCAGCAG
rnacentral:rRNA from 1 species